UUAAUAUUAAGAGUUUGAUCCUAGCUCAGGAUGAACGCUGGCGGCGUGGAUGAGGCAUAUAAGUCGUGCGAUGCAACUACCAACACCUAGCUUCUAACAACCAACAAGUUGUACUGAAUGCUAAUGGCAUUCAGAUACAGAAAAUUUAAGGUUUACCAAGAUGCUAUUAAACUACAUAGUCUGAUAGUAAAAUUAGUAGCCAAUUUCCCAGUAGAAUUUCGUCAUCUUUCCGAUCAAGUAAAGAGAGCGGCCCUCUCUAUAGUCUUGAAUAUCGCGGAGGGUUCGGCAAGGUUUUCCGAUAAAGAUUUCGAUCGCUUUAUUGGUAAUUCUCUCGGAUCAACUGACGAGGUCAUAUCCUGUUGUGAAGUAGCUCUAAACGAGAAACUUAUUUCUUCCAAUGAAUUUGAAACAGUCGAAUCACUUGGGUUGGAAAUAUGCAAUCAGUUAGGAGGUUUAUCAAAGAAACUAAAAAGUUAGGAGUUGGAUGUUAGGUGUUGGUAGUUGUGGAGCGGCAGACGAGGUAGUAAAACGUAGGGACGCACCCAGAAGUCUGGUAUAGCUUCGCGAAAGCGGAGGUAAUCCCAGAUGUGGUCGCCGAUGAGGCGACCAAAGGAGUGAUUCGCUUCUGGAGCGACCUGCGGAGUAUCAGCUAGUUGGUAGGGUAACGGCCUACCAAGGCGAUGACGCUUAGGGGACCUGAGAGGGUGACCCCCAC
rnacentral:rRNA from 1 species